rnacentral:rRNA from 1 species
UACAGAGGGUGCAAGCGUUAAUCGGAUUUACUGGGCGUAAAGCGUGUGUAGGUGGCCGCGUAAGUCGAUUGUGAAAUCCCUGGGCUCAACCUGGGAAUUGCAGUCGAUACUGCGUGGCUAGAGUUCGGUAGAGGGCGACGGAAUUCCCGGUGUAGCGGUGCAAUGCGUAGAUAUCGGGAGGAACAUCGAUGGCGAAGGCAGUCGCCUGGGCCUGGACUGACGCUGAGCCGCGAAAGCGUGGGUAGCAUUCUGG